GUUGGUUCUGCGGCGGACUUCCUGUUUGCCUCAGAUGUAGCCUGGAUGCUAAAAGCAGGUUUAGGUUGUCAUUGCCGAGUCCUGUUUCACUAUUCUCCAGUUUUUGGAAGAAACUGCAGAGAAAAGGAUUGCAGUCAGCACCCAGCCCAGCAGCGCUAACGUCCAUCUCACCUGCACUUGUUCUGGUUCUGAUCCAAACAGUGGGUCCAAACAGCCCCCUCAUGCUGCCUGAGGCUUUGCUGUUAAACUGCUGACAGAUACGACUGCAGUGGAGUAAAAUGUUGCACAGUUACGUUUAUUUAACGUCCAAUGCAGCCAAAAUAAAGCUGUUCUAAGAAGCUGCGCUUAUCGCAGCCCCUCAGGGCGCCUGUGUUAAUCCCCAGGAAAAGAUGACAUCAAAUGGAAGCAGAGCAAAGGAUUAUGGGGGAUGUUGUGGCGCUUGAUCAGCUGCUGAGAACUGGAUGGAGGGGAAGGAAUCCUCCCCAGGUGCGAGCAAACAAACCUGGAAAUGGUAAGAAAAGGGAGAAACACAGAGUCUGAAUUAGAAGAAGGAAGAUGCGUCGCCACCAAACCACCACUUUAACUUUAGUCAGACCAACUCAGGUUAAUGUUUCCUACACCACCAGUUUUCCUUUAGUUACUUAAAUAAUGGAUACUUUAUUUAUUCCAAAAAGAAAUUAAGGUAAGCUUAUCUUCAAAGAGUCGCUUUGUAUGGUGAUGGAAGGGAGCAGAUUGUGUCGCAGCUCAUCUGCAGAGGCUUCUGACUGAAGACAGUCGCUGUGUGACAGUCUCACGACUGUUGAUGCUCCACAGGAACAUCCACCACAGCUGGAAAGUUAUCCUCUUUUCAAAGUUUUGAAAUGUGCCUUUAAACUUUACUGGAUUUAAGUUCAGGUUCUGACUGGGUGGGUCCAGAAGUCAACCUGUUGUUAUCUUGGCUUUAUGCUGAAGUACUUUUAGGGCAUUUUUCCCAGCUGGUAGUCCGGUAGACAUCUGCUCCAGCUGCUGUGGCUCUGAGUC